AAGUCGUAACAAGGUUUCCGUAGGUGAACCUGCGGAAGGAUCAUUAUCAAAAGUCAAGUCGGGGGCUGUAAAGCUCUCGUCUACACCCCAUGUCUUUUGCGUACUCUUGUUUCCUCGGUGGCGCAAGCUGCCGAUUGGACAAACCAAAACCUUUUUUGUAAUUGCAAUCAGCGUCUGAAAAUAAUCUAAUUAUUUACAACUUUCAACAACGGAUCUCUUGGUUCUG
rnacentral:misc_RNA from 1 species